rnacentral:misc_RNA from 1 species
UGAAGGUGCACGUAGAUCCCUUUGCCCAAAGGAAAGAUGGAUUAGAGCCCCAAAGAAAUAGAAAAAUUCAAAGAAAUAAUCCUCUAGAUAAGUACUCCAUGAAAUAAUUCUCAUCAUAAGCACGCAAGGCAUUUAUUAUGUGAUCCUUAUAUUAAUGAAGUACAAAGACACGGAAACUUAAUAGCAGGGUGGAUUGCCUAAGUAAAUCACAGAAGGCAGUCAUGCAAAACGU